AACGAACGCUGGCGGCAGGCCUAACACAUGCAAGUCGAGCGCCCCGCAAGGGGAGCGGCGGACGGGUGGGUAACGCGUGGGAACGUGCCCUUUGCUACGGAAUAGCCCCGGGAAACUGGGAGUAAUACCGUAUAAGCCCUACGGGGGAAAGAUUUAUAGGCAAAGGAUCGGCCCGCGUUGGAUUAGGUAGUUGGUGGGGUAAUGGCCUACCAAGCCGACGAUCCAUAGCUGGUUUGAGAGGAUGAUCAGCCACACUGGGACUGAGACACGGCCCAGACUCCUACGGGAGGCAGCAGUGGGGAAUCUUAGACAAUGGGCGCAAGCCUGAUCUAGCCAUGCCGCGUGAGCGAUGAAGGCCUUAGGGUUGUAAAGCUCUUUCGUGGGGGAAGAUGAUGACUGUACCCCAAGAAGAAGCCCCGGCUAACUCCGUGCCAGCCGCCGCGGUAACAC
rnacentral:rRNA from 1 species